GACGAAGGGGGCUAGCGUUGUUCGGAAUUACUGGGCGUAAAGCGAGUGUAGGUGGUUGUCCAAGUUGGAUGUGAAAGCCUUGAGCUCAACUCAAGAAAUGCAUUCAGGACUGGGCGGCUAGAGGACCGGAGAGGAUAGUGGAAUUCCCAGUGUAGUGGUGAAAUACGUAGAGAUUGGGAAGAACACCAGUGGCGAAGGCGGCUAUCUGGACGGUUUCUGACACUCAGGGACGAAAGCUAGGGGAGCGAAUGGG
rnacentral:rRNA from 1 species